CCCUUGUCAAAACAACACCGACCGCACUGAUCUGCGAAAAGCUGGGAACGGCGUUGCUAUAUCCACAAACGUUAGUCACUUCUGCCUCUCCUUCUUCGUUACCUCCGCAUUAGAAAAGAAUCCUUGCUCUUCACUGGUUAAUCCUCUGUUCCAGGUGCAUAUUUUGUUGACCGUUUUAUACUCAAUUCCCAAUCAUUCUUGUUCCUCUUUUCGCUUCUUUCUGUACUACAUGUCCAAGAUUUUUUAACUGUGAAUCUGAAUUUGUCCCACUGAAAUGUUUUUGAUCCUCAAAUCGACCCCUAGGUGCUUCUAUUCAUGGCAUUUAGGUGGAAGCUACUGGAAAAAAGGCUAACUUUUGAACUCAGAAGCCAAUGUAAUGGAAACCCAAUAUGCUGUAAUAGGGCUGGUACAUUUUUUUCCUCAUGGUCAUCAGAAAACCCUAACCCUAGUUCUCAUAUUGACCCUUGUUUAUGCGCCGGAUGCGUGGAUACAGAACAAAUUGAUGAGAAUGAACAUGGGUACGCAAGAGUUGAAGAAAUGGAUCUCAAAAAAUUUGGGCUUUUGAGUUCUUGUGGUAAUACUAGUGAUGAGCAUAGAAAAACUUGUAAUUUCGGUGACGCAGAUGAGGAUAAGGAGUCUGAAGAAGGGGAGGGUGAGAGUGACAAUGAUCAUGAUAUUGGGGUUUUGAAUAUGGCCAGCACGAACAAGCCCCAAAGGCAAACUUUUAGGAUUGUUGGUGGGGAUGAAGAUGAAUCAAGACACCCUCUUGUGAAAGAAGUUUGUAGGUUGAUUAGUCUUCGGUCAUCGUGGAAUCCGAAGCUUGAAAACGAGUUGAGGCACCUGCUAAGAAGCCUCAAACCUCGACAUGUUUGUGCUGUUUUGCGCGUUCAGAACGAUGAACGGAAUGCUUUGAAAUUUUUCUAUUGGGCUGACCGACAAUGGCGAUACCGACAUGACCUUAUCGUGUACUAUGCAAUGCUUGAGGUCCUCAGUAAGACCAAGUUGUAUGAUGGUGCUCAAAGGGUCCUUCGUCUGAUGUUGAGAAGGGGAAUUGAGCUUCAGCCACAAGCUUUCGUUUAUGUGAUGAUAUCUCAUAGUCGAGCUGGUAAUAUGGUGAAAGCAAUGCAAGUUUUAUUUCUGAUGCAAAAGGCAGGAGUUGAACCUGAUUUGUCAAUAUGCAACGCUGCCAUUUAUGUUUUAGUGAAGGGGAACAGGUUGGAGAAAGCAUUGCGGUUUUUGAAUAGGAUGCGAGUUAUUGGGAUUGAACGUAGUGUUGUAACUUUCAAUUGCUUGAUCAAGGGAUAUUGUGAUUUGCAUCGGAUUGACGAUGCGGUGAGUCUAAUCGAUGAAAUGCCAUUUGAAGGUUGUUCACCAGAUAAAGUUAGUUACUACACAGUGAUGGGUUUUCUAUGCAAGGAGAAGAGGAUCAAAGAAGUGAGGGAGCUGAUGGGGAAGAUGUUGAAGGAUGGCAAACUAUUACCGGACCAGGUUACUUACAAUACCCUUAUCCAUAUGUUAACCAAACAUGGUCAUAGCGACGACGCCGUAGUAUUUUUAAAGGAAGCAGAAGAGAGAGGAUUCUUGGUGGAUAAGGUUGGGUAUAGUGCGAUAAUUAACUCGUUUUGUCAAGAGGGAAGAAUAGAUAGGGCGAAAGAACUUUUAGGGGAAAUGAUCACGAAGGGAUGCAGUCCUGAUGUAGUGACUUACAGUGCAGUUGUCCAUGGGUUUUGUCGCGUAGGAGAGGUGGAUGAAGCCAAAAAGUUGAUGCAGGUGAUGAACAGACAAGGUUGCAAACCAAACACUAUCUCAUAUACGGCCUUGUUAAAUGGGCUUUGCAGAAGUGGGAAAUCAUCAGAGGCAAGGGAAAUGAUGAACUUGAGUGAGGAAGAAUGGUGGACCCCAAAUUGCAUUACAUAUAGUGUUGUGAUGCAUGGGCUCCGUAGGGAAGGGAAAUUAUCUGAGGCUUGUGAUGUGGUCAAGGAAAUGAUCAGAAAGGGGUUUCAACCGACCGCAGUUGAAAUCAACUUAGUGAUUCAGUCUCUUUGUCGAGAGAGUAGAGUUAAUGAUGCUAAGAAUUUUAUGGAGGAGUGUUUGCACAAGGGAUGUGCAGUUAAUGCGGUAAACUUUAGCACUGUAAUUCAUGGAUUUUGUCAGAGAGGUGAUGUGGAUGCUGCGCUCUCGUUGCUUGAUGACAUGUAUUUGAGUGACAGAUGCCCUGACACCGUCACUUAUACAACAAUUAUUAAUGCAUUAGCAAAGAAAGGCAGAAUAGAAGACGCAAUUGAACUGACCAAGAAAAUGCUCCACAAGGGUUUGGUUCCUAGUCCUAUUACAUACCGUUCAAUCAUCUGUAGAUUUUGUGAACAAAGUAGGGUGGAAGAUUUGUUGAAAUUAUUGGAGAAGAUGCUUUCUAGAAAAGAUUGCAGAACAGUGUAUAAUCAGGUUAUAGAAAAGCUUUGUAGUCUUGGAAACCUUGACGAGGCAUAUAAACUCUUGGGAAAGGUUUUGAGGACAGCUUCAAGAUUUGAUGCCAGUACAUGCCACAUGCUUAUGGAGAGUUAUAUGAGUAAAGGUAUUCCUCUGUUGUCAUAUAAGGUGGGGUGUCGGAUGUUUGAUCGGAAUCUGAUCCCUGAUUUGAAGUUAUGUGAGAAAGUGUGCAAGAGAUUGAUGCUAGAGGGGAAAUCAGAUGAAGCAAAUAAGCUUAUGCUACGGUUCGUGGAACGUGGAUGCAUUUCACCCCAGCACCAGAGCAAAAUUUGCUGACCUGGGCUGCAAUUUUCUUAAUUGCAUUAUAAGAGUUAUAUGUUUGUUUUCCUUCUUGAGCUUCAAUUGUGGCAAGGUGUACUAGAUACUAAUACUGGAGAUGAAACCAAAGAGUUAUGCUAUUUUUGUAGAACUUGGAUGCAUUUCACCUCAAAUCAUUCUUUGAGAGCUGUAGAGGGUUUUCAUAGUUGUAAAUUGUAAUAUGCUGAGAGCGAAGAUUUCACUUAUCUAUAUAGUUCCGCCCUCUUCUGUUAUUGUAUGCUAUCGAGCUUAAAUCAUAAUCUGCCCAUCUUGUUUGAGUGAUGUUACUUUUACAAUUUAUGUUAGAUUAGCCCUAUUCGUUUUUUAAUCAGAAGAAAAUCAUAUUGCAACGCCCUGGGGAAUGAUCACAAUGGUGAAUGGUAGUUUGAUAUCCAAUACGAAUAAACGAUCUUUUAGAGCUGUGAUUUUGUUUUCUAUUUCAGGAAUCAUUGUUAAAUCUGCACUGAUACUAUGGAAGACUUUAAUAUGUAUCACUGGCAACGCAUAUCCAACUGUUCUAUCUGGGAGCAUGGAACCUGGGUUCCUGAAGGGUAGCUAAAGAUCGUCUUAUAUGUGCUGGGGAAAUAGUUGUGCUUCAUGUCGAAGCACUCCCUCAGACAUGUUUAACAUUCUACGUGCCCAAAGCAUUGCAAAUUCACUUGGUUACCACAGUUGAUGCAGAUCGCUGCCACGAAGAUGGUGAGAUGCAUUAUAAGAGGGAAGAUUGUGGAACAUGACGAGGGGGUUGAGGUCGAAAGAAGGAACUUGAGAAAUUAGCGAACGGUCCCUUUGUAUACUACAAAUAUUGUGUUGUUUAACUUGUAUUUACGGCAUGAAGGAACCCUUAUAUUGAUUCAAUGCGGAUGUGUGUUCAUGUACAUUUAAGUAUUGGAGUAUUAAUAAAAAAGAGAAACCCUGUAGUAUUA